CCCAACAACUAUUGCGUAACGCAUACAGUUAAUUUUGUAAUGAAGUAUUGCAAUCUCUUCAGAGAACACAAGCAGUUGGUCAUUUUCAUUGCAAAAUUUGUCCCUCCAAAAAAUCCUGAUUCUUUCUCCACGCCCCCUGCAGGAAGGUUUGAUUCCACGACGGCGAAGUUCUUCACGAGAAAUUGUCUGCGAAAUACCUAGCCCGUGGAAUCAGGCCUUAACGCACACUGACCGCAAUGUAUAUCCAGUGUAAUGAAUAUAACUGGAACGCCACCUUCAGAUAAACUGCUUAUUUUUUUCUUGAAGCCAAAUCUGACAUCCCCCCUCCCCCCGUCAGACAGGCGUGUCUGGGGGACAAGACCCGCGUGGUCCACAGAGUACAUUUGAUACAGAGGGCAGAUUCAGCCAAAAAGAGUGUUAAAAAGUGCCCAGUGUUAAAAAGUGCCCAGUGUUAAAAAGUGCCCACAUUAAGAAAUGAACCAAAUGACUAAAAAGACCACCUCAAAAUUAGUAAGUAUACAAAGUUUGAAGACGUUGGCA